GACGAACGCUGGCGGCGUGCCUAAUACAUGCAAGUCGAACGGAAAGGCGCGGCGCUUGUGCCGUGCUCGUGUGGCGAACACGGGUGAGUAACGCGUGUAAAAUGUCCCUGUCAGUGGGAGAACACCUGGGAACACGGGCGAUAAUCGGAUAUAAGCUCUUGAUGCACGUUGGUGAAUAGUAAGAUACGGCGUUUCGGGAUGGAUUCGGGGGGUAUCAGCUUGUUGGUGGGGUAGUGGCUUACCAGGGCUUCGACGGGUAGCCGGCCUGAGAGGGUGAUCGGCGACAUGGGAACUGAGCCGCGGACCAUGCGCCUACGGGACGCAGCAGUAGGGAAUCUGCGGCAACGGGCGAAAGUCUGACGGAGCGAGGCCGCGUGAGUGACGAAGGUGUCCGGAGCGUAAAACUGUGUUGCUAGUGAAGAACAAAUUUGGCAGGAGACAAGGAGUGAGUGACGGUAAUGGAUCAAGAAGCCACGGCUAACUACGUG
rnacentral:rRNA from 1 species